rnacentral:rRNA from 1 species
GAUGAACGCUGGCGGCGUGCCUAAUACAUGCAAGUCGAACGGACAGACGCGGCGCUUGCUCCUCUCUCGUUUGCGGCGGGCGUGAGUAACACACGAGUAACCCGUCCCUGACUGUCUGAUAUCUUCAGGGAACUGGGGCGAUUACCCGGGAUAAGCUCCUGCUGCACGUUGGUCGUUGGAGAAUGUCGGAGGUUGUGUAUCGACUCGCGGCUGAUCAGCUUGUUGGUGGGGUAGUUGCUUACCCAGGGUUUGACGGGUAGCCGGCCUGAGAGGGUGACCGGCCACAUUGGGAAUGAGAUACGGCCCAGACGCCUACGGGAGGCAGCAGUGGGGAAUAUUGCACAAUGGGCGGAAGCCUGAGGCAGCAACGCCGCGUGCGGGAUGACGGCCUUCGGGUUGUAAACCGCUUUCGCCUGUGACGAAGCGUGAGUGACGGUAAUGGGUAAAGAAGCACCGGCUAACUACGUG